CCCACAGUUGAAAAAUAACAACCCCAUGAAUCUUAAAGUAGUAGAUAAACAUACACAUAAAUCAAAAAAAGAAUGUUGAACAAUCUGUCAUUCUAGCAAAACCAGAAUAAGUUGGUGUUAAAAAUCAAGGUUUUUAUAAAAAUUCCUAAUGCUGCCCCUUGGUUUGUGUACUGAUUAGUCACAGGUAACAGAGAGCUCUCAGACCAAAAGCUCUCUACAAAUCAAAUGUUCACUAGAACUGUUUUAAAUUAUGCUGUAAGUCAUUUUCAGAACAGAAGAAAUGGGUUUGUGUUUUCUAGAAUAAUUAUCCAUGUGAGAUUAGAAUAGUCUACCCAUUAAAGGCAAUUUUAGUGUAACUAAAGUUUAUGACCUUUCAAACCUCUCUUCGGGCAAGGUUAAUUUUUUUGCGAUACAAAUACCUACAGAAACCACUGAAAUACUAAGGAAAUAGAAAUAGCAGGAAACAGAAAACAGAGAAAUUAAAAAAAAAAAAGCAUAAUAGGCCAGGCGUGAUGGCACACGCCUGUAAUCCCAGCACUUUGGGAGGCCAAAGCAGGUGGAUCACCUGAGGUCAGGAAUUCGAGACCAGCCUGACCAACAUGGAGAAACCCUGUCUCUACUAAAAAUACAAAAAAUUAGCCCGGCGUGGUGGCACGUGCCUGUAGUCCCAGCUACUCGGGAGGCUGAGGCAGAAGAAUCGCUUGAACCCAGGAGGCGGAGGUUGCAGUGAGCCGAGAUCACGCCACUGCACUCCAGCCUGGGCAACAGAGCGAGACUCUGUCUGAAAAUAAUAAUAAUAAUAAAAAACAGGGAACAAAAAAUAAAUGAUGAAAUUUAUCUCUAACAUAUAAAUAAUUAUAUUAAAUAAAAAUGGUUUAAAUAUAACAAUUAAAAGAUAGUUUUUGGAACACUAUUUAUAACACUAAAUGCAUAUGUUAUAAAAGAGAGAAAGUUUUAUAUCAAUAAUCUAAUCAACUCAGAAACUUAGAAUAACCAAAGUAAACAGAAGGAAGGACAUGAGAAAGCUCAAAACAGAAUUUAAUUAAAUUUUAAACAGAAAAACAAUGGAGGAAUUCAAUAGAACAAAGGGCUGUUUUUUGAAAAGAUUAAUAAAAUUAACAAAUGUCUAACAUUUCUAACAAAAAAAGAUUAAAAAAGUCACAAAUUAUCAAAAUCAGUAACAAAACAAGAUAACCACUGCAGAACACAGAGAUAAUAAAAGGAUUUGGACAGAGAACUAAUAAACAACUUUACAUGCAUAAAUUUGACAACUUAGAUGAAAAGGUUUCUCAAAAGACACAAACUACUAUAACUUACUCAAUAUAAACUAGAUAAUUUGAAUACUCUUACAACUAUUAAGGGAAUUGAAUUUACAAACCGUCCCCCUAAAUGUUCAAUGAAACAAUUAAAGCAUAAUUAACAC
rnacentral:lncRNA from 1 species